rnacentral:rRNA from 1 species
GGGACGGGUGAGUAAUGCCUAGGAAUCUGCCUGGUAGUGGGGGACGAACGUUUCGAAAGGAACGCUAAUACCGCAUACGUCCUACGGGAGAAAGCAGGGACCUUCGGGCCUUGCGCUAUCAGAUGAGCCUAGGUCGGAUUAGCUAGUUGGUGAGGUAAUGGCUCACCAAGGCGACGAUCCGUAACUGGUCUGAGAGGAUGAUCAGUCACACUGGAACUGAGACAUGGUCCAGACUCCUACGGGAGGCAGCAGUC